rnacentral:rRNA from 1 species
GACGAACGCUGGCGGCGUGCCUAAUACAUGCAAGUAGAACGCUGAAGCGAGGAGCUUGCUCUUCUUGGAUGAGUUGCGAACGGGUGAGUAACGCGUAGGUAACCUGCCUUGUAGCGGGGGAUAACUAUUGGAAACGAUAGCUAAUACCGCAUAACAAUGGAUGACACAUGUCAUUUAUUUGAAAGGGGCAAUUGCUCCACUACAAGAUGGACCUGCGUUGUAUUAGCUAGUAGGUGAGGUAAUGGCUCACCUAGGCGACGAUACAUAGCCGACCUGAGAGGGUGGUCGGCCGCCCUGGGAGUGAGACACGGCCCAGACUCCUACGGGAGGCAGCAGGAGGGAAUCUUCGGCAAGGGGGGCAACCCUGACCGAGCAACGCCGAGUGAGUGAAGAAGGGUUUCGGAUCGUAAAGCUCGGUUGUAAGUCAAGAACGGGUGUGAGAGUGGAAAGUUCACACUGUGACGGUAGCUGACCAGAAAGGGACGGCUAACUACGUG